ensembl:lncRNA
CAUUAACAUAGCCUUGGUUGCUGUAGAUUUACAUUUCCUGGAGAUGGCAGCAAAGUACACAGAAGCAAAGGGACCAACCAUACCACAUAAACAAGCGGCAAGAUUAAUGGCGCUGUGCAGUUCUGGGGAUGACUGACGAAAUGCAUCGGCCUCUUCUGCUCUCAAGUGACAGGGCAGGGAUCUUUUUGUGCUUACACUCCAUCAUCUUGAUGGCUUUGUUUUUACCAUAAACAUCAAAUGGCACUAUAUUAGGAACAUUAUAUAACAAUUAACUACAUUUUAAUUUGCCUGACAAUUAUGGAGACAUAGUGCUGUCAUGGAAAUGGACUGCUUCACUGCCAUAUUAAAGAUGCUGAGUGUAAUAUAUUUUCUGUGUGAAACUUAUAAGCAGAGAUGUUGCUCCCAUC